UUUCUUUUUUUUUGUUUCCAGCACCACAUAUGGCAUAUAAUUUCUUUAUCAUGGAUUAACCAUGUAUGAUGUUAACAUGGUAUCUUCUCAUUCGGUGCAUUGCAGAUUUGCCUGAGUGGUAGCAAGCUGCAUUGCAGAUUAAAGUUGGCAUGAUUGCUGCUAGUUGGUGAUAUCAAGGAUGAAGGUUGUGGAGCUGGUGGUCGAUUAAAUGUCUUACUGUUAUGUACUCUUUGUUAUGUACUCUUCAGUGAAACUUCUCCUAUGAGUGCAGGGUCUAUAUGUAAUCACCCACUUCCGGUAAGUAACACGACUUUUCUCGCUAGGCAUCAAUGCACUUUUUGAUAGUACACUAGCAACCGAUAUUUCUAAAAGUGUCCACUAGGUUAUUUAUCAUAUUCAAGGAAUAUGAUACUACAUAUGUAUUGUAGGUGGAUAUUAUCUGUUGAGAGCGACAUCACCUGUAGACAAAUUGAUACUCAACAGUUUGCACGCCUGGGAGCCUCCAUGGUGCAGGUGGACGCGUGGAGCGGCGAAGGUUUGUGAGUCGGGGAAGAACACGGUGGUUAGCUUCAUAUGCCUCACUCGUUUUUCUGCUCCCAGCAGAUGAGUGCCUCUAUCUCCUCUUACCAUUUUUUUCUCAUUGUAUGGCGUAUCUCUAAUUAUAUAAUGGUGAAUAUUUUCAAUAUAUAUAUUGUUGCUAUUAUA